AAUUGUUAACAGCAUUGUAUAACCUAUUCAAAUAAGAUCUUGACCAAAAUUUUUAUUAAACCUUGACAAGUGUAAUAGUGCAUGCCUGUAGUCUCAGCUAUGAAAGGAAUAUUUUGAUCAAUAUCUUUGAAUAGAAAAGCUCAGG